rnacentral:lncRNA from 1 species
CACCAGACAUUCCCCUUGAACGGAACAUUGUUACUCGGUUUAGGCAACGAACCAGGGCUAGGAACCGGUCUUGUCCCGCUGAAAUCGAUUUCGUAGAUCUGUGUACCGUCCGGAUUCAAAAUUCCCCAAUGCCUCUCUGUUCCCGAACCGGGUUUCUGGUUUUCAUUGAACAACGAGAACAAAAAUGUCGGUAUAGGUGAACCGGGUCUAACCGGUGUACCGAUUGGCGGGUUAGCAGUCAUCUUCUUGAUCAAAUUCCGGUUAUACGUCGCCGCAUUGAGAAUGUUGGCUCCGGUUUCGUCGAUAUCACCGGAGUUAGGCCACCCGGUUUCAGAGAUUGCAAGCCGGACGUUUGGAUAACCGAGCUUGGUCAUCGCGAAAAUAACCGAAUCGAGCAUCUGGUCUAGAAGAUUAGUGUAAACCAAACCGGUUUGGGGGUCGGUAUAAGUCGAAUUCGAUUGGAACAGAGCGAAAUCCAAAGGGUUGUUAACCGGAUCAGUGGACCAAGGGAAGUAAGGGUAAGAAUCGAGGAAGAAGAAAGAGUUUGUUCCGUUGAGAAACUUCAGCAACGGUAACAUCACCGGAGCGGCGACUUCUUCCCGGAACGCACCGCUCGACGGAGGAAAGCUCGUUCGAAGAACAUCCAUGGCGAGUGGUGUCCCCACUUUGAUGUUGUGAAUCCCUCUCGCUCUAAGAGAAGUAAUGGCAACAUACACAAAUAUAAGAACUUAUCUCCAUUUUCUUCAAUCUUUACAUAUAUUUAGCGUCUUACUCUUACGGAUCUGGGCAAAACCUAUUGAAGCAUGCAUUGCUUUCAUCCCAAAUUUUUUUAAGGUUUUUUUUAUAGACAUAGGCCCCAUAGUUAUGAAUUUUUUAUCAAGUUUUUUAAAAAUGUUUCAAGCCCUAAAAAUUUCAGAUUCGCCUCUGAAACCAAUCUAGCAAAACUUAAUGUAGUUUUACACCAAAAAAAAAAACUUAAUGUAGUUCCCGACUUGGUGAUUGUAUAUGCUCUGGUUCAGUUCGUUAUAGUUUUUCCAUAAUGUCCUAUAUCAUUUUCUCACUAUAUUUAUCACACAUUAAUAUAUGGGCAAUUCUUUCAAAUAACCACUUUUAAGUUUUUUGUCACAAAAAGAGCUCUAAAACAUGACCAAAAUUUAUUUUAUUUUGAAAUUUUUAAUUUUUAAUUUUUUAAAAUUUGAAACCCUAUCCCCAAAAAUUCACCCCUUAACUCUAAAUUUUACCUUUUAAUAAAAUUUUUUUGGUCAUUUUUCUCAUUAAUUGCUAUUUUUGUGACAAAAUUUUUAAAAACUAUCCUUCAGAAUUUCUCUUAAUAUUAUAUUACCAGAUAGAUAAAACAUGAGAGAUGCGUAAUCUUCGUUUUUAACAUAUUAGUAACAAAUUGUCGUUGUUUAUUCAAUCUUUCUCAACAAUAGAAAACAAGGAGUUAAAACUUCGAAUAAUAGGAAAUUGAUAAUUAUCAAGAACAAGAUUUGACUUGAAAAAUACUAAUGAUCCAGCUUUUGAUCCUUCUCCAUACGCCUUAGUUUUGAAUCUUGGGGAACUCUCAAAGGGUAACGCUAGGGAACGUGCAAUGUUCAUUUCCUGUAGAAAAUAGUCAUUAAAAUCAUAAAAUGUUUAAAUGUUCGUAUGUCUAGUAUAUUCUUGUUAGAAACAUAAUGAAGUGUUUUGAGAAACUCACCUGGAUUGGUCGUGGUCUCACGCGCCAAGCCAUUGAAGUAACACCGCGAGCUUUGGUUCCGGAACUGUGCCCAGUACGAGCUAAACGCAUAACUUGCAUGCCAAGUAAGCGAAACCGGUGCGUAACACUCUCUUCCCGGCGCCAAAGCUGCACACGUUGCGUUACUUUGUCCGCAAGCAAAGUUAAGCGCCUGCUGUAACUCCGCCUCGCUGGCUCCUUCAACCGCCACACACCAGACAUUCCCCUUGAACGGAACAUUGUUACUCGGUUUAGGCAACGAACCAGGGCUAGGAACCGGUCUUGUCCCGCUGAAAUCGAUUUCGUAGAUCUGUGUACCGUCCGGAUUCAAAAUUCCCCAAUGCCUCUCUGUUCCCGAACCGGGUUUCUGGUUUUCAUUGAACAACGAGAACAAAAAUGUCGGUAUAGGUGAACCGGGUCUAACCGGUGUACCGAUUGGCGGGUUAGCAGUCAUCUUCUUGAUCAAAUUCCGGUUAUACGUCGCCGCAUUGAGAAUGUUGGCUCCGGUUUCGUCGAUAUCACCGGAGUUAGGCCACCCGGUUUCAGAGAUUGCAAGCCGGACGUUUGGAUAACCGAGCUUGGUCAUCGCGAAAAUAACCGAAUCGAGCAUCUG